CCUACGGGUGGCAGCAGUGAGGAAUAUUGGUCAAUGGGCGCUAGCCUGAACCAGCCAAGCAGCGUGAAGGAUGACUGCCCUAAGCGUUGUAAACUUCUUUUAUAGGGGAAUAAAGUGCAGUAUGUAUACUGCUUUGCAUGUACCUUAUGAAUAAGGAUCGGCUAACUCCGUGCCAGCAGCCGCGGUAAUACGGAGGAUCCGAGCGUUAUCCGGAUUUACUGGGUUUAAAGGGAGCGUAGGCGGGAUGGUAAGUCAGAUGUGAAAGUUUGCGGCUCAACCGGAAAAUUGCAGUUGAUACUGGCAUGCUAGAGUACAGUAGAGGUAGGCGGAAUUCGUGGUGUAGCGGUGAAAUGCGUAGAUAUUAGGAAGAACCCCGAUGGCGAAGGCAGCCUGCUGGACUGUAAUUGACGCUGAUGCUCGAAAGCGUGGGGAGCAAACAGGAUUAGAUACCCUGGUAGUC
rnacentral:rRNA from 1 species